UUGCACGCUGGCGGCAUGCCUUACACCUGCAAGUCGAACGGUAACAGGUUAAGCUGACGAGUGGCGAACGGGUGAGUAAUGUAUCGGAACGUGCCCAGUCGUGGGGGAUAACUGCUCGAAAGAGCAGCUAAUACCGCAUACGACCUGAGGGUGAAAGCGGGGGAUCGCAAGACCUCGCGCGAUUGGAGCGGCCGAUAUCAGAUUAGGUAGUUGGUGAGGUAAAGGCUCACCAAGCCGACGAUCUGUAGCUGGUCUGAGAGGACGACCAGCCACACUGGGACUGAGACACGGCCCAGACUCCUACGGGAGGCAGCAGUGGGGAAUUUUGGACAAUGGGCGCAAGCCUGAUCCAGCCAUGCCGCGUGCGGGAAGAAGGCCUUCGGGUUGUAAACCGCUUUUGUCAGGGAAGAAAAGGUUCUGGCUAAUACCUGGGACUCAUGACGGUACCUGAAGAAUAAGCACCGGCUAACUACGUG
rnacentral:rRNA from 1 species